GGGGAAAUGGUUUAGUGGUAUAAUACCUCUUUAGCAUAGAGGUGGUCCGGGGUUCGAUUCCCCGUUUCUCCA
rnacentral:tRNA from 1 species